GUGUUCAAUUCAGCAACACAUAUAUUAAAAUUGGAAUAAUACAGAGAAGAUUUGAAUGACCCUGUGUAAGGAUAACAUGCAAAUUCAUGAAGCAUUCCAUAUUUUU